rnacentral:rRNA from 1 species
GUCAGCAGCCAUAUCGCCUUGUAGCUCACAACUGGCAACCCACUGAAGCUACGCAGGUAUGAGCCUGGUCAGUACCUGGAUGGGAGACCUCCUGGGAAAAACUAAGGUUGCUACAGGAA